ensembl:lncRNA
GAAGAGCGACACCUACUUGACUUGACAGCCAAUAAGAGAGAAGACUGUUCUACUCUCGAGAUAUACAACCGUAGAAUGUAACAUUAAGCGGACGCUGGUCGAAGUAUACUUUAGCUUUCACACUUCCGGUUCCUCGGAGUCCUCGCGUGCUGCAUAUUGUUGUAAACAGGAGACGUGUGUUCACUGCGGCUCUGUGUUUUUUUAUCACAAAAGUGUAAAGUGGAAAUUGUGAGAAAGGAUGAGAAGAAAAUGAUGCCCAGUAAAGUGCAGUUCGGUCAUCAGAAGUACAGGAACAAGGAGAAGACACAGAUGAAGAACAAUCUGAAAGUGUCACAAUCCAAAGUAUUGAGAGAUACAAACACAGUGAAUCUUCUUAGAUGCAACAGCAUGGAGCGUCUGGAACCAAACUUCUCUCAUGAUCCAGUCAGAGCUGUAAAGUCUCAUACUGAUGUACCAGAAGGUCCAGGAUGAGAAAACAACAGGACCUUAAACUCCAGUAUCUGACAGGGGAUCAGUCACUAGAUUGUUGCAUAUUUUUGUGUAUGACAUGCACAAAGGUGCCACAGUCACCAAUCAAUCCAAAUGAUGAAUAAUUGGCACUGCAAAAUGAGAAUUACUUUUUCAUUUUUAUCUCUCUGUAUUUUUUUGUAUUUUCUGCACUUUAUUGCCUGCACUUUUAACUUUUUGUGUAUCUUAAGCUGAACGUUUGUUUUUAUUUUCUGAAAACCAAAGAAGUGUCUCUUGUAAAUUGUACAUAAUGUUUUUGUAAGAUGCUCUGGCUUAUAGCAUCUUGGAGUGAGAAUACAUGUAACACUUUCUUAUCAUUAGUUACUGGCAUUAUUUUUUUAUUAUUUGAAAUCUUAUUUAGGAUUAACUUUAUUAUUGUGAUUUAUUGUAAUGGAAGCAAAUACACACCAUGAAAAAUGAUGACGAUUCUGUGUCUUUCUUUAGCUGUUUUCACUUUUAAUAUCUACUGAUGCACAGAUAUUAUG